rnacentral:rRNA from 1 species
GACGAACGCUGGCGGCGUGCCUAAUACAUGCAAGUCGAACGCAGUGGGGACGGGUGAGUAACACGUGGGUAACCUCCCAUCAGAGGGGAUAACACUUGGAAACAGGUGCUAAACCCAUACUGAUGGAUGGACCCGCGGUGGAUUAGCUAGUUGGUGAGGUAACGGGUCACCAAGGCCACGAUGCAUAGCCGGCCUGAGAGGGUGAUCAGCCACACUGGGACUGAGACACGGCCCAGACUCCUACGGGAGGCAGCAGUAGGGAAUCUUCGGCAAUGGGCGCAAGUCUGACCGAGCCACGCCGCGUGAGUGAAGAAGGUUUUCGGAUCGUAAAGCUCUGUUGUUAGAGAAGCGGUAUCUAACCAGAAAGCCACGGCUAACUACGUGCCAGCAGCCGCGGUAAUAC